UUUUUCUGGAGUAAUUUUUAAAUUUCCAUUGAGUUGCUGAUGAUUUUUGGGAAUUCAAAUUUUUAAAUAAAAAUGCGGGAAUAUUUAAAUAAAUAAAAUAAGAAGUUUUGAAUCGAUAGAUAAUUGAACAAUUAAACGACUCGAGGACGAGGACGAGGACAAUUUUUUUAUAUUGUCGUGUUUUAUAUGACAACGUCGAUAUUCUAACAGCUGUUUGAUACUGGUCCUUUUGUCCAGUCUCGGCCUUCGUGUACGAUAACCGAUUGGUGGAGAUGAACCCAACACUUUUCAUUGGCCGUUCAUUUUCUGUCUAACUGACUGAGAAACAAUAAAAGCUCGUAGCUCGUGUCCAUCAACAACACAACCCUAAAUUACUUUUACUUAAUUACUAUAUUUGUAAUUAAAUAUUUGUCAUUUAGAUUUUAUUCAAAUAUUUAAAUAUUCAAAUAUUAAUUUAUUUAUUACGCAUUGAAUGUCAAUGACAAUGGUCUUAUCUAUGUAGUAAUUAUAUACAGUCGAUAGUAAAAUGAAGAAAAAAUGACCGAACUCAACCUUGCUAGCAACUACGAGCUCUAGCAACUUUGCAAUAGGCCUUCAAACUUCCGUGAUGUUGCUGUAGCCGCCUGCUGACUGAACUACGAAACACACUUUCGAAAAUUUGUUAACUUGGAGUCCUACUCGAUGGAUAACGAGGACUAUCAAAUAUCAAGGACUAUUUUCGCAAUUUACACGUGGGUUUUUAUAAACAAUUGUUUUCUUUGUAAGUAAUGACUGCGGGGUUUGGAAAAUUCAUUGACAAUUAGCGAAACUACUUGGCGGCAAAGCUAAGUUUGAAUUAAUAUUCGAUUGUUUAUUUCUCGAGUGGAAAAUUUUUCUGGAUUUGGAAAUUUUGGAAACAUGGAAAAAUUUAUGAUCCUGAAGAUAAGACAUAUCAUCAGGUGCAUUAAUUAUUGUAUGGCCGAAUAAAUGGAUUGUCAGUUUAUCAAUGCCUAGAAGUGUUUCAUUGCAAACAGGACACUGCAGUGGUCGUGUCGCCACACUAACGAGUCCUACUCGCAGUGAAUCCAAUGAUGAAAAACUAGGCCGAGCACACAGUGGACAAGAAAAUAAUUGAGCGCACAUUUUGCCAGACAUAAAUUAACCAUCAGUACUAAUAACUCACUGUUAAUUAUUAUUAAUUUACAAUAUAUACUUAAUCAUUUAAUAUUUAUAAUUAAUAUUGAAUGUAAGUAAAUCACUAGACGCAAUAUGAUAAAAAUGAUGGUAUGUUUCAAGUGCACUCAUCACAUCACCACCAAAAACUAUUAUUAUCACAAACUACUAUUUAAAUUUAAACUAUAAGUCGUCUUAAACUUGACCCAAUUAACUAAUUACGGUUAUGGGCAAUUAAUUUUUUUUUUUAAGUACAAAUUUAAUUUUUUAUUGCUACUUAAUUGGUAAUAAAUAAAAUAUUUUUUAAAAACUAUUUAUAUAAGCCUGAGUAAAUUGACUUUAAAAUACAUCAGCUUAAGUUUAAAAAUGAGUUCAGGGUGUUUGAGCUAAUAAUAGAUUUACCGCGGGACAUUUAAAUGGUUACUUAAAUUAUUUUUUAUUUACAUACUUUGAAACGUACAAAAUUUUUUGAUAUAAAAAUUUAAUAUUUUAUUUAACUAACACUUGUAAGGUAAAUUGUCUUUGCAGCAAAACUCGCGGCCGGCUGAUAAGUUUGUUCUGAUCCAUUUGUCGCUACCAUUUUUUAUAAAUAAUUGAGCCUAACAUACAUUUAGUUAUGAAAUUAAUAUGUUUUUAAAUGAAAGUAAUAAAUAAAUGAAUACUCACUCGUUCUUUGUAACAAUCGCGAUUUAAUGAACUGCAGAUAAUUGUUGGACUGUUGGGUAAAUGUUUCACUAUCUGCAAAUUAAAAUGAUAAUUAUUUUUAUUGAUUUCUAACUAAUUAAUUAAAAUAAUUGUUCUAAUUUUCAAACUUCCCGCUAUAAAAUUUGAAAAUUAAAAAAAAAGGAAGUUAUUGGUGCAGUCCGGUUUUUAAAAAUUGAGUUUUCAUCAGGUCUAGGUUUUGAGGCCCUAGGAAACUAUUCUGACUAUUUCCGAGUGGACGUCUGCGCACUUGUGUUUGUAAACUAAUUUUUGUCAUACGAUAUCUUUGGAACAAAUCAACUGAUUAGAUCGAGCUUGGCGGCAAUUGAAAUGUCACAUCAAGACUUAGAUCUGGAUAGAUUUUGAAGUCAAUCGGUCGAGUAGUUCACGAGUUAUACGGAAAUUCAAAAUUCAAACAUUAUUUUUUUGAGAUUUUUUUCAUAUCACUCAUAAACUACAUGCCCGAUUUGCCUCAAAAUGUAUCCAGUUCUAAGUCUUGAUCAGCCCAGUCGAUUGCCACCAAGAUCGAUAAGAUCGAUCGAUUCGUUCCAGAGAUAUCGUAUGUCAAAAAUUAAUUUUUUUUGGUUGAACAACAAAUUAAUAAUUUUUUGACUUCCAAGAGCUCAAAAAUUUACGUCGUCUGAGCUCGAAAACAGCGGGAAGUUUUGAGGUUUGACCACAGGGUUAGUUUUUCAAAUUUUUAUACUUACAAUUGAUAGACAUUUUUUAAUACACGAUUUAUUGCCAUCGGAAUUGUUUGGAAAUUCUUCAAAAACAUCAUGAGUGAUAACAGGAUCUCCUUCAGGUAAUUCUUUAGCCUUUUUUUUAGAUUCACUGAGGAAAAUUCCACAAAGACAACCAGGAACUUUUGUCGGAACAGUCGAUGAAGUGACAUCCGUAAUAUUAAUAUUUAUAUUUUCUGUUGUGAUUUUUUCAAUUACAGACACAUAAUUUUCGCUUCUACUUCUUACAGCAGGAAUGCAGAACAAAAUGAAUAUAAUUUUAUAAAUCAUCUAAAAUAAAAUAAAAUAAAUUAUUUACUAAAUAAUGUAAAUAAUUAUUAUUAAUUAUCAAUAAAAAAUUACUUACUGCGAUGUUUCGCGCGCAGUUCAAAACUCAAUGAACGUAAAGUGUAAUUACACUUCUUUUUAUACAGACAGUAACGCAAUUGAUAAAAUAAAUAAAACUAACUUAUGAAAUAAAUAAUUUGCAAGGUUGCAAUUAAUAAAACUAAAGAACAACUCGAUCGUCAUCAGCGACGAGUUUGUAUCCACAUUUUAUUAUUUUUCUUGCUGACAAAAUAGUGACCGUUAUUUCAAUAGUAUCCCCCGCAUAACAAGGCUUUGGAUAAUGGAGAGACUGAUGGACGACAAUCGUCCCCGGUCCAGGAAGUUUAGUACCCAGUACACCGGACAAAAAACCAUUCAGCAGAGCGCCAUGUACUACUUUCCUCUCAGCACUCACAUGAAUAGGAUUAUAAUCAUCAGUUAAUUUCGCAAAAUUCAUUACGUCAUCC